UUAAGCUCCUUAGCGUCGAUGGUAGUCGAACUUACGUUCCGCUAGAGUAGAACGUUGCCAGGCAAGUUGAGACCGCAGGUCUCUUUUUUUUAUGUCUAAAACGUCAAAAUAAAAGCAAACACAAAGAAAGAUGGCUUGGCGAAGUGAAAACGUUUGAAUCUGACGAAACAAGAAAAGAGCGCAACGAGUUUAGUAGAGCUAAAUGAGUAAGCGAGAGCCGAAGGAGAGGAAAGAAGCAAGCGAUUGUCACAAGUCAAGAAAGGUCUUUAGCGACGAUGGUAGCAAACUUACGUUCCGCUAGAGUAGAACGUUGCCAGGCAAGUUGAGACCGCAAGGUCUCUUUUUUUAUGUCUAAAACGUCAAAAUAAAAGCAAACACAAAGAAAGAUGGCUUGGCGAAGUGAAAACGUUUGAAUCUGACGAAACGAGAAAAGAGUGCAACGAGUUUAGUAGAGCUAAAUGAGUAAGCGAGAGCCGAAGGAGAGGAAAGAAGCAAGCGAUUGUCACAAGUCAAGAAAGGUUCUUAGCGACGAAGGUAGCAAACUUACGUUCCGCUAGAGUAGAACGUUGCCAGGCAAAAAGUGGAUGCGAUGAGCCGCAUUGAGACCGCAAGGUCUCUUUUUUUAUGUCUAAAGUUACAUAGUAAAAAGCAAACACAAAGAAAGAUGGCUUGGCGAAGUGAAAACGUUUGAAUCUGACGAAACGAGAAAUGUAAAGUAUAAUAAAAAGCAGUCAUAAGAUGAUUUCAAUUAGAAAUCAAUUUAUGACUGUUUUUCUUACUAUGUGUGGGUUAGUCGGGUCCUAAGCUGAGGCCGACAGGCGUAGGCGAUGGAUAACAGGUUGAUAUUCCUGUACCACCUAUAAUCGUUUUAAUCGAUGGGGGGACGCAGUAGGAUAGGCGAAGCGUGCGAUUGGAUUGCACGUCUAAGCAGUAAGGCUGAGUAUUAGGCAAAUCCGGUACUCGUUAAGGCUGAGCUGUGAUGGGGAGAAGACAUUGUGUCUUCGAGUCGUUGAUUUCACACUUCCGAGAAAAGCCUCUAGAUAGAAAAUAGGUGCUCGUACCGCAAACCGACACAGGUAGUCAAGAUGAGAAUUCUAAGGUGAGCGAGCGAACUCUCGUUAAGGAACUCGGCAAAAUGACCCCGUAACUUCGGGAGAAGGGGUGCUCUUUAGGGUUAACGCCCAGAAGAGCCGCAGAGAAUAGGCCCAAGCGACUGUUUAUCAAAAACACAGGUCUCUGCUAAACCGUAAGGUGAUGUAUAGGGGCUGACGCCUGCCCGGUGCUGGAAGGUUAAGAGGAGUGGUUAGCUUCUGCGAAGCUACGAAUCGAAGCCCCAGUAAACGGCGGCCGUAACUAUAACGGUCCUAAGGUAGCGAAAUUCCUUGUCGGGUAAGUUCCGACCCGCACGAAAGGCGUAACGAUUUGGGCACUGUCUCAACGAGAGACUCGGUGAAAUCAUAGUACCUGUGAAGAUGCAGGUUACCCGCGACAGGACGGAAAGACCCCGUGGAGCUUUACUGUAGCCUGAUAUUGAAAUUCGGCACAGCUUGUACAGGAUAGGUAGGAGCCUUUGAAACGUGAGCGCUAGCUUACGUGGAGGCGCUGGUGGGAUACUACCCUAGCUGUGUUGGCUUUCUAACCCGCACCACUUAUCGUGGUGGGAGACAGUGUCAGGCGGGCAGUUUGACUGGGGCGGUCGCCUCCUAAAAGGUAACGGAGGCGCUCAAAGGUUCCCUCAGAAUGGUUGGAAAUCAUUCAUAGAGUGUAAAGGCAUAAGGGAGCUUGACUGCGAGACCUACAAGUCGAGCAGGGUCGAAAGACGGACUUAGUGAUCCGGUGGUUCCGCAUGGAAGGGCCAUCGCUCAACGGAUAAAAGCUACCCCGGGGAUAACAGGCUUAUCUCCCCCAAGAGUUCACAUCGACGGGGAGGUUUGGCACCUCGAUGUCGGCUCAUCGCAUCCUGGGGCUGUAGUCGGUCCCAAGGGUUGGGCUGUUCGCCCAUUAAAGCGGUACGCGAGCUGGGUUCAGAACGUCGUGAGACAGUUCGGUCCCUAUCCGUCGUGGGCGUAGGAAAUUUGAGAGGAGCUGUCCUUAGUACGAGAGGACCGGGAUGGACAUACCUCUGGUGUACCAGUUGUCGUGCCAACGGCAUAGCUGGGUAGCUAUGUGUGGACGGGAUAAGUGCUGAAAGCAUCUAAGCAUGAAGCCCCCCUCAAGAUGAGAUUUCCCAACUUCGGUUAUAAGAUCCCUCAAAGAUGAUGAGGUUAAUAGGUUCGAGGUGGAAGCAUGGUGACAUGUGGAGCUGACGAAUACUAAUCGAUCGAAGACUUAAUCAA
rnacentral:rRNA from 1 species